rnacentral:tRNA from 1 species
CUAGAGAGAUUAUUCUUUGUUAUCGUGAGAUAAUAGGAUAUUUGCUGUUUUAUGUUGACUUCAUGUUUUUACUUUUUGAAACCCAAACGUUUGAGUAUGGGCUCUGCCCUCUACCUAUAGACUUUUAGUCCCGUAGCUCAGUUGGUUAGAGCACUACACUGAUAAUGUAGGGGUCCGCAGUUCAAAUCUGCGCGGGACUACUACUUUUUAACGUUUGAAACAGAUGACUAGCUCAAUGGCAGAGCGUCCCGAUAGAGAUCGGGAAGACAAUCGGUUCGACUCCGUGCAUCAUCACAGCUUCCGGUUUACCGGAAACAAGUUCUUUGACAUAUUGAAAUGAAAGAAAAUACAUAAAUAAGCUUGAUGUUGUUCAUUUAACAUCGAGUUCAAC